rnacentral:lncRNA from 1 species
AUUCAUCCUUGGCUGCUUUAUACAUUAGCAGCCGGAGAGAGAAUGUACAUGGGACACUAGCAAUGGAUAAGAAAUUUUUAAAAACCUAUAUAUAUGUGUGGCCUUUUAUCAAGCAAGAAAAUAACCUCUUCUUCUCACAAGCUCACUUUCUUUCUUUUUCUUCUCCUUGUGGCACUAACUGGUGGGUUAACUUCAUCAUCCCUUAGACCCUUACUCAUUUUAUACAUAUAAUUCAGAUUUUUAUAUAAAUAGUCGGUCGGAUGCUUUGUAUUUUUUUUUUAAUUAUUAUACAUAAAUGAUAUUCUGAUUAUACCUAGUUAUAUGCAUAUUAUAUAAAUUAUACUUAGGCCCUGUUUGUCCAUAUUUAAAAAUCCUUUUUUUCAAUUUUUUUUUCAAAAAUGUAUUUUGUCCUUGAAAUUUUUGUAAGUUUUUAGGAAUUUGCCGAAAAUAAGUUUUUCAAAGAAAAACCUUUUUUCCCCACUCAACAAAUUGCAACAUUUUUUAAAUGAAAUAUAUGUCCAAAACAUAAUUUCAAAUUCCAAAAUACCACUUUUCAACUUAACUCCAAAUACUACUGCUUUUAAAAAUUAUAGUAAUUUUUAUGUCGAAACAGCUACUUAUAUUAUUCAUUUGUCGGUUGUUUUAAGUUUAAGCGAUCGAAUAGGUAGCUAUUUAGGUUAAUUAUUCGUAUAAUUAUGUAUCUCUACUUAUAUUAAUUUGGUUGAUCAUAUUGUGCAGUUCAUUCAAACAUUAAGGCGAUGGCGACGCAAGACUUACCUUUACAAGAAGAGGUGAUUGAGCAAAUUGUAGUACCAGAUCUUACUAAUAGAAAAGGAUGUUACAACCUCUGCAAAUCUGAUGCAAAUUGCAAUAACAGAGGUUCAGUGUGUAGGCAAUGUCGAACAGCACAUAAUCAUUAUGAUAUUACAAUGAGAUGCUAUCCCAGGAUUUGAAUCUAAUGGAAUUUUUACAUAAAUAGUCGGUCAAAUUCAUAUAUGUGUUUUUUGUGGUUAUUUUAUUUUUACCAGCUCCGUUUUAAGCUUUGUGUCAUUUGUAAGGUUAAAAAUACAAGUGACUAUUUAUUUUUUUCCGAACAAAUAUGUGUUUUCGUAUGAGUAUGUUGUAUUUCUAUUUUAUUUAUUAUUUCUUGUUGAAUGAAUUCUAUUCUUUUACUCCAAA